rnacentral:rRNA from 1 species
GAUGAACGCUGGCGGCGUGCCUAAUACAUGCAAGUCGAGCGAACGGACGAGAAGCUUGCUUCUCUGAUGUUAGCGGCGGACGGGUGAGUAACACGUGGAUAACCUACCUAUAAGACUGGGAUAACUUCGGGAAACCGGAGCUAAUACCGGAUAAUAUUUUGAACCGCAUGGUUCAAAAGUGAAAGACGGUCUUGCUGUCACUUAUAGAUGGAUCCGCGCUGCAUUAGCUAGUUGGUAAGGUAACGGCUUACCAAGGCAACGAUGCAUAGCCGACCUGAGAGGGUGAUCGGCCACACUGGAACUGAGACACGGUCCAGACUCCUACGGGAGGCAGCAGUAGGGAAUCUCCCGCAAUGGGCGAAAGCCUGACGGAGCAACGCCGCGUGAGUGAUGAAGGUCUUCGGAUCGUAAAACUCUGUUAUUAGGGAAGAACAUAUGUGUAAGUAACUGUGCACAUCUUGACGGUACCUAAUCAGGAAGCCACGGCUAACUACGUG